rnacentral:rRNA from 1 species
AACGAACGCUGGCGGCAGGCUUAACACAUGCAAGUCGAGCGCAUCCUUUGGGGUGAGCGGCGGACGGGUGAGUAACGCGUGGGAACGUGCCCUCUUCUACGGAAUAGCCUCGGGAAACUGAGAGUAAUGCCGUAUACGCCCGCAAGGGGAAAGAUUUAUCGGAGGAGGAUCGGCCCGCGUUGGAUUAGGUAGUUGGUGGGGUAACGGCCUACCAAGCCGACGAUCCAUAGCUGGUUUGAGAGGAUGAUCAGCCACACUGGGACUGAGACACGGCCCAGACUCCUACGGGAGGCAGCAGUGGGGAAUCUUGGACAAUGGGGGCAACCCUGAUCCAGCCAUGCCGCGUGAUCGAUGAAGGCCUUAGGGUUGUAAAGAUCUUUCAGCUGGGAAGAUAAUGACGGUACCAGCAGAAGAAGCCCCGGCUAACUCCGUG